GGUCGUGGCAGCCGAGCACUGCCUUCACACGGCAGGGGUCACAGGUUCGAACCCUGUGCCGCCCACCA
rnacentral:tRNA from 1 species